rnacentral:tRNA from 1 species
AGCCCAGUGGCUUAGUAGGCAGAGCAUGGGCCUGGGAGCCAGAAGGACCUGGGUUCUAAUCCCGGCUCGGCCA